rnacentral:rRNA from 1 species
CCGCGGGAUUAGAGUUUGAUCCUGGCUCAGGACGAACGCUGGCGGCGUGCUUAACACAUGCAAGUCGAACGGAAAGGCCCUGCUUUUGUGGGGUGCUCGAGUGGCGAACGGGUGAGUAACACGUGAGUAACCUGCCCUUGACUCUGGGAUAAGCCCGGGAAACUGGGUCUAAUACCGGAUAGGAGCUCCUGCUGCAUGGUGGUUGUUGGAAAGUUUCGGCGGUUGGGGAUGGACUCGCGGCCUAUCAGCUUGUUGGUGGGGUAGUGGCUCACCAAGGCUUUGACGGGUAGCCGGCCUGAGAGGGUGACCGGCCACACAGGGACUGAGAUACGGCCCAGACUCCUACGGGAGGCAGCAGUGGGGAAUAUUGCACAAUGGGCGAAAGCCUGAUGCAGCAACGCCGCGUGCGGGAUGACGGCCUUCGGGUUGUAAACCUCUUUCGCCUGUGACGAAGCGUGAGUGACGGUAAUGGGUAAAGAAGCACCGGCUAACUACGUGCCAGCAGCCGCGGUAAUACGUAGGCCGCAAGCGUUGUCCGGAUUUAUUGGGCGUAAAGGGCUCGUAGGUGGUUGAUCGCGUCUGAAGUGAAAUCUUGGGGCUUAACCCUGAGCGUGCUUUCGAUACGGGUUGACUUGAGGAAGGUAGGGGAGAAUGGAAUUCCUGGUGGAGCGGUGGAAUGCGCAGAUAUCAGGAGGAACACCAGUGGCGAAGGCGGUUCUCUGGGCCUUUACUGACGCUGAGGAGCGAAAGCGUCGGGAGCGAACAGGAUUAGAUACCCUGGUAGUCCAUGCUGUAAACGGUGGGUACUAAGUGGGGGGUCCAUUCCACGUUUUCCGUGCCG